CAGAUCUGCACCUGUGCCGUGUUUGCCCAACACUUUCCUGCUUCAGCAACUAUCUCAGCCACUAAGUCAACGCUGUGGAUGUGAAGGACAAACAGCCGGUCAGGGAUUGGGAUCACUCCGUCUGUACAGUAGGUGGAUCGUGGCAGGUUGAAUCCUGAUCAAACGUUCUUUGUCAGCGACACAAGAGGCCGGGCAGUCACGACUUUGAUAUUCAGGUUUUCAAAGAAACAUGAGACAACUAACAGCACAACAAAGAGCUCAAACCAGCUGCACACAAACCUGCAGGUACAGCACGACGAUUAACCCUCUGGAGGCCAUCUAUUUAUUGAAAAUACACGUUUUAUUUACAGUAAUAACUUUAUUUAUAUAUGAUAUGUAGACAAGCUGAGAAAGCCAGUUGAAAGUGCAAUCAUAGGAGCUUUCACAGUGUGCCAUUUAUGUUUCUAGACCAUUUUUAAAUUGUGAAUUUUCUUUCUACAAUGAAAACUACUAUUUUUAAUUUACAUACAUAUAGACUGUUUUGUAGUUUUAUUUAUUAUUUUUUCUGCUGUUUUUGUGUGUAUAAAUGGAAAAAAAUGGUACAUUUCCAUAGACACCUGUGUCUUGUUUGUAUAUUCGGUUCCUGGCAGCUUUAUAUUUUGUUAAUUAAAAUAAAAUGAAAAAUCUGA